rnacentral:piRNA from 1 species
UACCAUCUCACUGCUGCUCGCUUCU